AACGAACGCUGGCGGCAUGCCUAACACAUGCAAGUCGAGCGAGACCUUCGGGUCUAGUGGCGCACGGGUGCGUAACGCGUGGGAACCUGCCCUUAGGUUCGGAAUAACUCCCCGAAAGGGGUGCUAAUACCGGAUAAUGUCUUCGGACCAAAGAUUUAUCGCCUUUGGAUGGGCCCGCGUUGGAUUAGCUAGUUGGUAGGGUAAAAGCCUACCAAGGCGACGAUCCAUAGCUGGUCUGAGAGGAUGAUCAGCCACACUGGGACUGAGACACGGCCCAGACUCCUACGGGAGGCAGAAGUGGGGAAUAUUGGACAAUGGGCGAAAGCCUGAUCCAGCAAUGCCGCGUGAGUGAUGAAGGCCUUAGGGUUGUAAAGCUCUUUUACCCGGGAUGAUAAUGACAGUACCGGGAGAAUAAGCUCCGGCUAACUCCGUG
rnacentral:rRNA from 1 species